rnacentral:rRNA from 1 species
AUUGAACGCUGGCGGCAUGCCUUACACAUGCAAGUCGAACGGCAGCACGGGAGCAAUCCUGGUGGCGAGUGGCGAACGGGUGAGUAAUAUAUCGGAACGUGCCCAGUCGUGGGGAUAACGUAGCGAAAGCUACGCUAAUACCGCAUACGAUCUAUGGAUGAAAGCGGGGGAUCGCAAGACCUCGCGCGAUUGGAGCGGCCGAUAUCAGAUUAGGUAGUUGGUGAGGUAAAGGCUCACCAAGCCGACGAUCUGUAGCUGGUCUGAGAGGACGACCAGCCACACUGGAACUGAGACACGGUCCAGACUCCUACGGGAGGCAGGCCAGUGGGGGAAUUUUUGGGACAAUGGACGCAAGUCUGAUCCAGCCAUUCCGCGUGCAGGAUGAAGGCCCUCGGGUUGUAAACUGCUUUUGUACGG